rnacentral:rRNA from 1 species
UACGUAGGGCGCAAGCGUUAUCCGGAAUUAUUGGGCGUAAAGAGCUCGUAGGCGGUUUGUCGCGUCUGCCGUGAAAGUCCGGGGCUCAACUCCGGAUCUGCGGUGGGUACGGGCAGACUAGAGUGAUGUAGGGGAGACUGGAAUUCCUGGUGUAGCGGUGAAAUGCGCAGAUAUCAAGUGGAACACCAGUGGCGAAGGCGAGUCUCUGGACAUUUCCUGACGCUGAGGAGCGAAAGCGUGGGGAGCGAACAGG